rnacentral:rRNA from 1 species
UACGUAGGGUGCAAGCGUUGUCCGGAAUUAUUGGGCGUAAAGAGCUCGUAGGCGGUUUGUUGCGUCGGCUGUGAAAUCCCGAGGCUCAACCUCGGGUCUGCAGUCGAUACGAGCAAACUAGAGUGUUGCAGGGGAGACUGGAAUUCCUGGUGUAGCGGUGAAAUGCGCAGAUAUCAGGAGGAACACCGGUGGCGAAGGCGGAUCUCUGGGCCAUUACUGACGCUGAGGCGCGAAGGCGUGGGGAGCGAACGGG